rnacentral:tRNA from 1 species
GAGGGUAUAGCUCAGUGGUAAGGUGUGUACUUAGCAUGCAUGAGGUCCUGGGUUCAAUCCCUAGUACCCCCA